rnacentral:rRNA from 1 species
ACCCGCUGAACUUAAGCAUAUCAAUAAGCGGAGGAAAAGAAACCAACAGGGAUUGCCCUAGUAACGGCGAGUGAAGCGGCAACAGCUCAAAUUUGAAAUCUGGCGUCUUUGGCGUCCGAGUUGUAAUUUGCAGAGGGCGCUUUGGCAUUGGCAGCGGUCCAAGUUCCUUGGAACAGGACGUCACAGAGGGUGAGAAUCCCGUACGUGGUCGCUAGCCUUUACCGUGUAAAGCCCCUUCGACGAGUCGAGUUGUUUGGGAAUGCAGCUCUAAAUGGGAGGUAAAUUUCUUCUAAAGCUAAAUACUGGCCAGAGACCGAUAGCGCACAAGUAGAGUGAUCGAAAGAUGAAAAGCACUUUGGAAAGAGAGUUAAAAAGCACGUGAAAUUGUUGAAAGGGAAGCGCUUGCAGCCAGACUUGCCUGUAGUUGCUCAUCCGGGUUUUUACCCGGUGCACUCUUCUAUAGGCAGGCCAGCAUCAGUUUGGGCGGUUGGAUAAAGGUCUCUGUCAUGUACCUCUCUUCGGGGAGAACUUAUAGGGGAGACGACAUGCAACCAGCCCGGACUGAGGUCCGCGCAUCUGCUAGGAUGCUGGCGUAAUGGCUGU